rnacentral:pre_miRNA from 1 species
GAACGCGGUUUUGGCCUCCUAAAACCGUGCCCAUGGAGGUUUUAGGAGGUCAAAAUCGCGUUC